GCCAGUGUGACAUAGUGGUUUGAACAUUAGAUUAGGACUCUGGAGACCAGGGUUUGAAUCCCAGCUUGGCCA